CAACCUGGUGGUACGGAAUGUGGAUUUUUUGUGAUGCGCUAUAUGAAAGAAAUAGUGCAAGGGUUUGAAAAGGACGCCAAUAUUUCUCUGCCAUCAUUGGUAAAUGCUUAUAAAUAUAUACUAUCAUAUUUUAAUGUAACAUGUUUCAUAAAUUAUACUUGACCACUAAUUUUUAUUUACAGUUUACGAAUGUACAAUAUUCUCAAGUUGAAAUCGAUGAAGUUCGCGAGGAAUUGGCUAAGUGUGUUCUUACACAUGUAUUGGACUGAUCAGGUAUGUUUGACUUGUGAAUUAUGAUAAGGUUAUUAAUCCUCUUAUAUCAUCCCUAAGUGUUGGUGAUAUACAUGUGCCAUAUUAAUCCUCUUAUAUCAUCCUCUUAUACUUGUGAAUUAUGAUCAGCCUUUAAAAUUCACAUAUAUAACUUAAGUAACAAAUUACUGAAACUGGGCUUUUGAGAUUAAGUUUAGAUUCAAACAUUUGUGAAGUUAAUCUUCAUUUAGCAUCAUUUUUAGUUUCUUUACAUGGCACAUAGUAUUAUGUUUUACUGAUUUUGUUUCAUGGUCAGGUGGCAAUAACAGUUAGCAGGAAGAUAGGAAGCUAGAUGUGGCAUUUUGGUUGGUGUUUUGUAUGUCUUUUGAAUCUGGAAAAAAUGUAAGAAUAUGGAAAAGCAAGUGUUGAACACCAUUUUUUUGUUAAUAUUGUUUGGAUGUAAAUUACAUGACUAUUUUAGGUACUUUGAAGCUACAAUGUAUGGAAGUUUAAAUUAUGUUAUAUAAUAUGUUUUGG
rnacentral:lncRNA from 1 species